rnacentral:rRNA from 1 species
UACGAAGGGGGGCUAGCGUUGUCCGAAGUUACUGGGCGUAAAGCGCGCGUAGGCGGGUUGGUAAGUCCGCUGUGAAAGCCCGGAGCUUAACUCCGGAGGGUCGGUGGAUACUGCCAGUCUUGAAGGUGCUAGGGGGAGAUGGAAUUACCGGUGUAGCGGUGAAAUGCGUAGAUAUCGGUAGGAACACCAGUGGCGAAGGCGGUCUCCUGGGGCAUUCUUGACGCUGAGGCGUGAAAGCUGGGGGGAGCGAACGGG